AAACAAUAUGCUUUCUGGUACUAUUCCAUCCACCAUUGGAAAACACCUAUUAUUGAUGCAGAUGUGAGUUUUUCAAGUUAUGUUUGGUUCAAAUUACAAUUUCUCAUGUUUACUGAGUUCAUCCAUUUGCAGUUUAUGUGACGGGAGUGGACCCCACUGGCUUUAAUGUUUCUGGAAAAGGGUCUUUAGUAAUAUCAUGAUUCCUAUUGGGUUUUUGGAAUACGGGUUUUAAUGUUGAUACUGUGGAGUACAAGAAUAUCAGCUUCACUGUUUAGGAUGUCGGGGGUCAGGACAAGAUCAGACCAUUAUGGAGGCACUAUUUCCAAAAGACACAGAGACUCAUUUUUGUUGUUGACAGCAAUGGCAGAGACCGUGUAGUUAAGGCGAGGGAUGAACUCCCAGGAUGCUGAAUGACUUAAAUUUUCUUCAAAAAAGAAGUAAGCUUUCGGAUCAAAGCGAAGUUGAGAAUAGGGUGUUAGUUGAUGGUAAAUUGAUAACCAGUAGAGGCACAUCCAUGGAGUUCUUGCUUGCGAUUGUUGAGAAGCUAUUUGGCUGCAAGAAGGCAUUGGAUCUUGCUGUCAAUGAGAACUUUAAAUAGACAUAUAACUAUUAUGUUGGCAUUGUACUUUUGUGAAUGGAUUAAAAUGAAUGAUUGUAUUUAAUUGAAUGAAUGAGUGAUUGUGUUUAAUUGAAUG